rnacentral:rRNA from 1 species
AUUGAACGCUGGCGGAAUGCUUUACACAUGCAAGUCGAACGGCAGCACGGGGGCAACCCUGGUGGCGAGUGGCGAACGGGUGAGUAAUACAUCGGAACGUGCCCAGUCGUGGGGGAUAACGUAGCGAAAGUUACGCUAAUACCGCAUACGAUCUACGGAUGAAAGCGGGGGACCGUAAGGCCUCGCGCGAUUGGAGCGGCCGAUGUCAGAUUAGGUAGUUGGUGAGGUAAAGGCUCACCAAGCCGACGAUCUUUAGCUGGUCUGAGAGGACGACCAGCCACACUGGGACUGAGACACGGCCCAGACUCCUACGGGAGGCAGCAGUGGGGAAUUUUGGACAAUGGGCGCAAGCCUGAUCCAGCCAUUCCGCGUGCAGGACGAAGGCCUUCGGGUUGUAAACUGCUUUUGUACGGAACGAAAAGGCUCUGAUUAAUACCUGGGGCUCAUGACGGUACCGUAAGAAUAAGCACCGGCUAACUACGUGCCAGCAGCCGCGGUAA